rnacentral:lncRNA from 1 species
CACAAACUUGGAUGAUGGCGUUGUUUACUUCGAAUGAACAGCACACAGUAAUCUCAGAACUUCUCUAGUUAGGCAAAAAAAAAAUUACAUUAGUUUUUCACUAACAUUUCUCGUCAUGCCCAUGUGGUGUUCUGUGCCUGGCUCUGCUAAUUACAAACAAGUGCAAAAAGGAGUUAUCUUUCACCAUUUUACCUACCAGAGACUUACUCCGAUGCUGCCAGUGACUUGUAGCUAUCAAGCAUUAUACUAACGGUGACCAAAGACUGCUAGAGGGGUUUUCAGGCUGAACUGAUGGGGAAUCCAUAGAUUUUUUUCCCAUAAAAUGGAAGAUUCUUGAUUAGAGGUAACCUAACAUUAGCUAGCUCGCUAACCUAGAUGGACAAGGUGGUACAGAAUCUGAUUCCACCAGCAUGUGCUUCCAACCCCUGGCUCACCACAAGGUGAAGGGGAUCUGGAGUCCUUCCACAAUGUCCUGCUGAAAAAUUCACCAAAGCGGGUAAACAAGCAUUAUGGAGCAGUUACACCUUCCGGUUAUGGAGCACAACAAGAUUGUAAGACAUACACCUUCAAGGGACACUGAAAGGAUCUCUGCUCUAACGUGACACUUCCUACGUCGUCCAUAGGCGCUCAGAGCCCGGGAAAAACCUGAAUGUCGUCAUCCCAGCCCCAGGCUGAAACACAUUAUCGCCUUUCUCAAGUGGCCAAUCAAGGGACUCUGGGCUUAGGCGCAUGACCCGACCGCCCCCGCCAUUGUGAUUUUUUUCCUCUGUUUGCC